rnacentral:ribozyme from 1 species
UUUUUUUUUUUUUUUUUUUUUUCCCCUUUUUUUUUUU